rnacentral:rRNA from 1 species
AACGAUGGAUGCCCGCCGUUGGCGCCCUGCGCCUGCGGCCAAGCGAAAGCAUUAAGCAUCCCACCUGGGGAGUACGCCGGCAACGGUGAAACUCAAAGGAAUUGACGGGGGCCCGCACAAGCGGAGGAACAUGUGGUUUAAUUCGAUGAUACGCGAGGAACCUUACCCGGGCUUGAAUUGCAGUCGCUGCCCACAGAGACGUGGGCUUCCCUUCGGGGCGUCUGUGAAGGUGCUGCAUGGCUGUCGUCAG